rnacentral:rRNA from 1 species
UACAGAGACUGCAAGCGUUAUUCGGAUUCACUGGGCGUAAAGGGUGCGCAGGCGGCCAAGUGUGUGAGGCGUGAAAGCCCGGGGCUUAACCCCGGAAUUGCACCUCAAACUACAUGGCUAGAGCAUUGGAGAGGGUAGCAGAAUUCAUGGUGUAGCAGUGAAAUGCGUAGAUAUCAUGAGGAACACCAGAGGCGAAGGCGGCUACCUGGACAAUUGCUGACGCUCAGGCACGAAAGCGUGGGGAGCAAAAGGG